rnacentral:rRNA from 1 species
CCUACGGGUGGCUGCAGUGAGGAAUAUUGGUCAAUGGGCGCGAGCCUGAACCAGCCAAGUAGCGUGAAGGAUGACUGCCCUACGGGUUGUAAACUUCUUUUCUAAGGGAAUAAAGUGAGGCACGUGUGCCUUUUUGUCUGUACUUUAUGAAUAAGGAUCGGCUAACUCCGUGCCAGCAGCCGCGGUAAUACGGAGGGUGCAAGCGUUAUCCGGAAUCACUGGGCGUAAAGGGAGCGUAGGCGGGCUAGCAAGUCAGAUGUGAAAGCCGAUGGCUUAACCAUAGAACUGCAUUUGAAACUGUGAGUCUAGAGUAUGGGAGAGGUAGGUGGAAUUCGUGGUGUAGGGGUAAAAUGCGUAGAUAUCAAGAGGAACACUCAUUGCGAAGGCGACCUGCUAGAACAUAACUGACGCUGAUGCACGAAAGCGUGGGGAGCAAACAGGAUUAGAUACCCGGGUAGUC